rnacentral:rRNA from 1 species
ACACGCAUGACACACUGCAUAUCAAUAAGCGGAGGAAAAGAAACUAACAAGGAUUCCCCUAGUAACGGCGAGUGAAGCGGGAAGAGCUCAAAUUUGAAAUCUUAAAGGGUUUCCCUUGACGAAUUGUAGUUUAAAGAAGUGUUUUCUGUUAGAGAGUUUGGUAAAAGUUCUUUGGAAUAGGACAUCAUAGAGGGUGAGAAUCCCGUAUUUGAUCAUUCUUUCUAACGUUGUGAUACACUUUCAAAGAGUCGGAUUGUUUGGGAAUGCAGUCCAAAAUGGGUGGUAAAUUUCAUCUAAAGCUAAAUAUUGGCGAGAGACCGAUAGCGAACAAGUACCGUGAGGGAAAGAUGAAAAGAACUUUGAAAAGAGAGUUAAACAGUACGUGAAAUUGUCAAAAGGGAAGCGUUUGACACCAGUGUUGUUUUUCCGAAAAUCAAUUACGAAUGUUUUAUUUUUGAGAAGUUAUGACUUCAUCGGCUUGCUUCUUUCUUUAUGAAACUUUCUUAAUGCACUUUUCGGUUAACAAGUCAACAUCAAUUUCUUUUGUUGUAAAAGGGUAUGAGGAAGGUGGCUUUCUUUUCGGAGAAAGUGUUUAUAGCCUUGUACCUCUGCAAUCGGAGAGAUCGAGGACAGCAGCGUAGACUCCUUCGGGGGUUAGAUACACUUGUGCUAAGCUAUAGCCUUGUAUAGACAACUUGUUGACUAUGCUCAGUCAUGUAGCUUACUCGCUUGUGCUAUUUUACCUACGCUUAGGAUGUUGAGCGCAUGUCUCUCUCU